rnacentral:rRNA from 1 species
AGACUGACGCUCAGUGCGAAAGCGUGGGGAGCAACAGAUAGAUACCUGUAGUCACGCUGUAAACGAUGUCGAUUGGAGGUUGUGCCCUGAGGCGUGGCUCAGAGCUACGCGUUAAAUCGACCGCCUGGGGAGUACGGCGCAAGGUAAAACUCAAAUGAAUUGACGGGGGCCCGCACAAGCGGUGGAGCAUGUGGUUUAAUUCGAUGCAACGCGAAGAACCUUACCUACUCUUGACAUCCAGAGAACUUUCCAGAGAUGGAUUGGUGCCUUUCGGGAACUCUGAGACAGGUGCUGCAUGGCUGUCGUCAGCUCGUGUUGUGAAAUGUUGGGUUAAGUCCCGCAACGAGCGCAACCCUUAUCCUUUGUUGCCAGCGGUUCGGCCGGGAACUCAAAGGAGACUGCCAGUGAUAAACUGGAGGAAGGUGGGGAUGACGUCAAGUCAUCAUGGCCCUUACGAGUAGGGCUACACACGUGCUACAAUGGCAUAUACAAAGAGAAGCGACCUCGCGAGAGCAAGCGGACCUCAUAAAGUAUGUCGUAGUCCGGAUUGGAGUCUGCAACUCGACUCCAUGAAGUCGGAAUCGCUAGUAAUCGUAGAUCAGAAUGCUACGGUGAAUACGUUCCUGGGCCUUGUACACACC